AAUAGUGUAAAUGUGUAAUAUAUUGGUAGAUAUGUAUAUUUUAUAAUAUCGAUAAAUUAUGUAUGUAUGUAUGUACAUACAUACAUAUGUAUGAUAGUGUGUAAAUAUUUGAUGUAACUCUUGUUCAAUAUAUAAAUAUUAAACGGGUUAUUGGAUAACUCGAUUAUUUUUCUGUGUCGGGUUUGGGUCUUAAUAUUUUGACACGAUUAUUAAAUGGAUCGGGUUUGGGUCGAUUUAAAUUUGACACGACACGAAACUGACACAACACAAAUACGACCCGAUGAUCUGUUUUGCCAGCUCUAGGUAUUUGGUUUAGGAGAUUCUAUUUUCAAUUUGGUUUAGUAACUAGUAAAACUCUCGAAAGUAGAUAUUUAUGUUCCAUGGGCCCGUGUUUCUGAUUUUGGGCUUCGUAUUUCAUUUGCAAUCCAAUGUCGGUCAAAAGACAGGGCUUGAGUCCAAGUUUUUGUCGCGUACUUGUCCAGCAAAUUCAAUCAGCGGAUGCACAUAAAAGGGUGUUUAAAAUUAAAAUGUAUGCUUUUUACAAGCAUAUGGACAUGGUCUCAUAUUUUCAGUUCACACAAGUAAAAAGAAAAUAAUAGUUCUUUUAUGUGCCCGAAAAACUUUUUACACGUUUGUUAUGAUAAUAUGGUGUAGGAUGGGGCUAUUUAAACUCACUGUUUUUUUUUUCUUUAUAUCCUCUUUUUAAUUAAAAAUUUAUAAUCUAAAUAAUUUUUUAAAAAUUAACCUUUUUUUCUCUUUCUCUUCUCAAUUUCACAAAUUCUCAUCAAUUCAUUCAAAUAUAUUCUUUUAGCUUUGGAUAAUUAAUAUUACUAACUAAGAGGAAUAAAACCUACUAUUUAAAAAUGAAUAUUAACAAUUUUUUAUCAGCCAUUAAAGUUAAUGAAUAUAAAAAAAAAAAUUUACCAAACACAAAAGCAUUAAUACAAGAAAAAUUUCUUAUAUAUAGAAAGCAUGAAAUAUAGAUCAUGAUAUACUAAUAAAGGCCAAAAAAUAAAUUAAAAAGAGGGUGAAAUUAAAUGUUUAGUCGGUAGAACGUGAGAGUAGAAAGGGAAUAUGCAAUAAGGUAGAGAGAGAAAAUAAUUAGUAAAGGGUAAUUCUAAGAUUUUUUUAACUUUAAAUUUUUAAUAAUAAAUUUAUUUUUUAAAAUAGGUGUAAAGAGAAAUUUGGUGGUUUAAAUAGUCCCACCCUAUGAUGUACGCAUGAAGUAGACUAGAAGGUUUUUUUUCACGAUUUAACUAAAUAAAUUAUCAAAUAAAAGGCUUCUUACAUAAUCACUCUUUAAACACUGCCUUGAAGUAGUUCUAUUAAUUUUCAAAGGAGACAAAAAAUUUCGUUUUGGAAGCUAAUUAAUUAAUGCUAAAUUAAUGAAAUAAAAAGCCAUUGGACAAGUGGUUAGAACCCACAGAUUUGGUCAUUGUAGUUAGUUGCAAGCCGUCCAUUUGAUUUUAAGAGAAAAAGUUUGGCAUUUAGCGUUUCUUUUUUUAAACAUUUAUGAUAUCCCACCUUCAAAUCCUAUCUCAAUUCCAAUGGUGGGCAGCCUAGUGCACUAUCUUUCUUUUUCUCUUUAAGUCUCACCUGUAAGCCAAUUUCAUUUGCAUCUACACAACUUCCUUUUUCCCACUAAUAUUUUUUUUUUGGCCUUUUAUUUGUUUUUGAUUAAUUAAGACUUUAUAAAUCACCAUUUUGUUUUGUUUGUUGUGGAUUAGUGUCAUCCACUCAUUAAAGAAAAAAUUUUGUUUUUAUAACUAAGUCAAUUAAUCUUAGUGAUGGGUGGGUAAUUUGGCAAACCAAUAUAGGUGGGGCGGUUGGUUUUCCAAUUCUCAUUGUGAUUGCAUGCUCAUGUUGUGUAAAUUAUAUCUUUGUGGGUGGGUUGUUUAGUUGAGUGUAAAAUGAUUGGAAUUUGAAAUAAAUUUCAUAUCAUGUACCAACAUUAAUUUUUUCUUCUUCUUUUUUCCGCUAAUCUCUAAUCAUUUUUCACAUAAUUUGUAAGUAUUAAUGGCAACAAGUGAAAUCAAACAAACUGAACUCUAAUUGCAAAAAUAAAAAUCACAGAAAAGUGAGAAAUUUAAUCCUCACUUACUUGAAUUUCAAUGAUUUAGAAGUAUGUCUAAUUUUGACUCGUAUGCAAUAGGUUUAUAAAAAAAUUAUGGUAUUUAUGACCAUAAAAUAUUAUACCUAAGCAUAAGUAAUAUAUUCAAAAUCCAAGAAUUAUAUCGAAAAAAAUGAUUCAAUGGUGAUUGGAGGCACUUGAAUUAGGAAUUUUUCUUUUUAAUUGCAAUUAAUAGAAGGGUUACUUUCUCAUUGAGUAGAACUUCUUUAGGUGGUUAUCAAGUUAAAGCAUGUAAGUAUAAUCUUAUUGGCAGUACUAAUUAACAAUGCCAAAAGCGUGAAGCCAUAGCCAAAAUAGAUAACAGGCUUAGAAGUUAAUUACCUCGUUGGCCAUUACGUCAGAUGGUUUUUUAAGAAAUAAAUUUCUAAUUUCUGAAAGAUUAAGUAAACAUAAUCUAAUUAGAUGUUGUAUUUCAUUUAUUAUUAUUUUUCUUAAUCUCCUCGUUCUAUAGAUCAAGGCCUUAAAAAUAACAAUAAUGAUAGGAUCACAAACUGUUUUGUACAAACUAGUAUAAAUAUACAAACUGACGUGGCACGAAGAGAUUGGAUGAAAAGCGAUAACGAUUACUUUUUUAAUUAUUAUAGACCCAUGAUGAUUUUAUAUAAUCAAUCUCCUCAUGCCACAUCAAUUUGUACACACUUAUUUGUACAAGAUGGUUGUGGCUUUAUCAAUACUGUAAAAAUAAUUAUAGAAAAAGCAACCCUAGCAAAUCAAAAACAAAGGCGGCUAUAUGUUAUAUAUGCUUUUCAAAUUUAUAACUUAUUUAAAGAAGUUUUUGUGCCGUCGUAGUGCAUAAUAUAUACAUGCAUGCUUUCAUGCGUAAAAGACCGAAUAAAACGAAAUUCAUGCAAUGCUUUCAGAAAGUAAAAAUAAUGCUCUCACGUUUCAUCCUGAUCAAUGAUAAACAAUAUUAAAAUUGUACUUAGAUCAAUGAUUAAUUAAUUAAAACUCUAUAAAUAUUGGAUAUCAAAAUAUAAAGUUCUGCAUUCUAAAAUUUUAUUCCAAUGCGUGCAUAUGCCCACUGCAUGCAAAAGGAAAAUGGAAUAGUUUUUAUUAGAUGAUUAGACGCUUAGUUCUUUCAAAUUUCUUAACAACUAAUGGAUGUUAUUGUUUUUAUUAUCAUUGUGGGGGAUAAGCCGAAAUUUAAACUAGCUAGGGUUCCUAAAAUUAUUUAAUUUUCAGAUUAUUGUUUUAUAUUAUCUUCAGAGCGGCUUACUGUGCUUUGGAUAGUCUUUCACAUUAUCGCAUAUAUCUUAUUAUAUGCAAGCAAAACUCAUAUAUAACAACAACAACUGCGACUUUCUAUCAAAACUACAAAUUUACGAUUACAUUUUUUAAAUUUUUUUGUUUUGUUUUUACCCUAAACUUAAGAUAUAUUAUGU
rnacentral:lncRNA from 1 species